GAAAUGCGAUAAGUAAUGUGAAUUGCAGAAUUCCGUGAAUCAUCGAAUCUUUGAACGCACAUUGCGCCCUCUGGUAUUCCGGGGGGCAUGCCUGUCCGAGUGUCAUUGCGAACCCCUCAAGCACGGCUUGUGUGAUGGGCCCUCCCGCGUCUUGGUCGUCAAGACGGGCCCGAAAAGCAGUGGCGGCUUCGCGAUUAUCCGAUCAGCCAGAGCGUAUGGGGACUUUCUCUCUGUCACACGCCCGCGGCGCGGACCGACGCCUGUCGACCUUUAUUCAUCUUUUUCUCGGUUGACCUCGGAUCAGGUAGGGAUACCCGCUGAACUUAAGC
rnacentral:misc_RNA from 1 species